UGGGGGAAUUUUGGACAAUGGGGGAAACCCUGAUCCAGCCAUCCCGCGUGUGCGAUGAAGGCCUUCGGGUUGUAAAGCACUUUUGGCAGGAAAGAAACGUCGCGGGUUAAUACCCCGCGGAACUGACGGUACCUGCAGAAUAAGCACCGGCUAACUACGUGCCAGCAGCCGCGGUAAUACGUAGGGUGCAAGCGUUAAUCGGAAUUACUGGGCGUAAAGCGUGCGCAGGCGGUUCGGAAAGAAAGAUGUGAAAUCCCAGAGCUUAACUUUGGAACUGCAUUUUUAACUACCGGGCUAGAGUGUGUCAGAGGGAGGUGGAAUUCCGCGUGUAGCAGUGAAAUGCGUAGAUAUGCGGAGGAACACCGAUGGCGAAGGCAGCCUCCUGGGAUAACACUGACGCUCAUGCACGAAAGCGUGGGGAGCAAACAGGAUUAGAUACCCUGGUAGUCCACGCCCUAAACGAUGUCAACUAGCUGUUGGGGUCUUCGGACCUUGGUAGCGCAGCUAACGCGUGAAGUUGACCGCCUGGGGAGUACGGUC
rnacentral:rRNA from 1 species